CGGGAUGUAGCGCAGUUGGUAGCGUACUUGUUUUGGGUACAAGUGGUCACAUGUUCGAGUCAUGUCAUCCCGA
rnacentral:tRNA from 1 species